AGUUAAAUUUAAGGAAUUUCGAAUUCUUUUUAGCUUUGGCUUUAGCUU
rnacentral:tRNA from 1 species